AGUGGAAGCUGGGGUGUCGGCGGGCGGCCGCGGCCGGGUCUAGCGGUGCCUGCGGAAGAAGGAGGAGGAGGGCUGGCGAUGAGAAGCAGCAGGGGGAAUCAAGGGCAAGAAGGGACCCAGAGGGGCAGGUGGCUGAGAUGCUGGCGUCCAGGUGACCCGAGGAAUCCUCUGGAGAUACAGGCGCCGCCGCCUCCCGGUGCAGCUGAAAGUCGACGAAGAGGGCGGGGCGGGGGCGGCUUGUGGACUUCCACACUUUUCCUCUCUUCGGGCCAGUCUGGGGAGAGGGUGGCUAGCUGUGGCGGCGGCCAAUUACGUGGCGGACCUGCGGGGCUAAGCUGGCACGUCACUUCCGACUAGUGGAGUUUUUAGCCUUUUAACAUUCAAGGAUUAGCUCCUUCGCAUGGGGUCCGACCGCAACACGUGCGCUGGAUAAACGCUUGUUAACUGGAGCUCCCUCUUUGCCCACUAGCAGGGCAUUAGCUGGUGCUGAAGACAGUGGCUGCUUGGCGAGCCUGGAUCUCCAAGUGACCCCCUCAGCAACUCCUGAUGAACAGGACUGAAGCCAAUAUUAAAGCAAGUCAACCAAAGGUUCUCUGGUGUAGACAAGACAGCAAAAGGACAGACUACCUUGUGGAACCUAGCAUUGUUCUCCUUCUGCAGCACUAAGUAACAUUUGUUCUCCGUUAAGAUCUUUGCAAACCACACACAAGAAUUGCUGGUCAUCCUGCCAAUAGAUGCUGCUCACAGAACCAAAUUUCCUGUGCUGAAUUGUCACUCAUGGGCUUGAGAGUAGGAGACUGGAGACCAAGGUGGCUAGAAUCCAGUUGGGCCUGAUGUCUCCCUGUUGAAAGGGCUCCUUGUGGAAUGAAUAGCACAUGGCUCCUGUGGUGGAUCUGAUAGUGGCAUAGCACCAAGUGAUGCAGGCCUGCCAGGGGCCACAGACACAGAAGAUGCUCCCGGGGUCCCCCAUGUACUCCAGACACACUGCAGGCCACCUCUCCCAGCAGGUUGCCAGUCAUGGGCCCCAUCAUCAUGACUUCUGUCCAAGGUGUGCUCGGAAAUCUCUUCCUUAACUGUGACUUUCUGACAGGUGGAGGAUGUGGUCAGGAGUGGGAAAAGGAUUCGAGACGGGAAGAGGGAGGGGUUCAGGAUGAAGAGAGAUAAUCUGUGCCACAGAUGCUGGCCCUGCAGUUAGCUCCCACCUAGUCCGUGCACACACAUUCUAAUCCCCUCCCAUUCCUUUACAUGCUGCGGCCAGAGAGGCCUUUCUCAAAGUGGAAGUCUCAUCCUCACUUCUCUGGUUACAGUGCUGGGCCAUGGUAACUUACAAGGCUUAGCAGGAACUGUCUGCGCACUCCCCCUUCCUGCCCACUACCUUGUUUCCCUCCAGUUGCGAGAGAAAACAUUGAUUGAGCAUUAACUAUGUGCCAGGCUUGUCCUAAGUCCUUUGCAUGUAUUCACUCAAACAAUCCUCACAACAUUCCUAUCACAUCUCCCAUUUCACAGUGAGGGUUCUAAAGCACGUAGUGGGUGAGGAACUUGUCCAGGGUCACACAACUAAGUGGGGGUGGAGAAACAUCAAAUCUAGGUGGUCCAGGUGGUGGCCAGAACCCAUCAGCACCUCACUACAGCUGCCUCCAGUUUCUCGCUCUAGGAAAUACUCUUCCCUGUCAACUCCUGUUGUCCUCUGGGCUCAGUUGACAUGUCAUCUCCUUGAGGAGGACAUCCUGAGAUGCUCCCCGACUAGGGUGGGCACCCACUUCCACACUCCAAAUGCCUAUUUGACCUGUGUAUCGCUGCAUCCCCACUGCCUGGCAGAUAGCAGGCCCCUAAUAAAUAUGAUUUGAGCAAAUAAAUAUAGUUCUUCAAAAAAUAGGGAGGACUUCUUGCUUCAGGUAAUGGUAGGCUAGGACAUUUGGACCAACCCUCCUGCAGAAAAUAGCCAUUUAUUUUGAUGCAAUAUAUCUGGCUAUGACUAGAGAUUUCAAAUAUUUGGAGGGCUAUUAUGUGAAGAACUAAACUUACUCUUUGUGACAUAGAGGUCAGAAAUUGGUCGUUUCCAUAGAGUAUGAGAGAGACAGAAUUGUGCUCAUCAUAAGUAUCUUUUUUAAAAGUUAGACUUAAUAAAAUGGGCUGCCUUGGUAGGUGGUGAGUUCUCUGUCACGAAAGAGAUUCAGCCACUUGCUCUGAGAAAGCAUGGAGAAUAUCAACAUUGUAAGGGUCGACCACCUCAUCUCUGAGGCCCCCUCCUCACUUAGGUUGCCAUUGCAGGUGGAACACUGGGCUGAGUGUCAAAGAACCUGGGUUCCACAAGCUGUGCGACCAUGGCUGGUUGUUUUGGAUCUCAUUCCUAAUAUCUGUUAGUUAAGCUGACCCGUCAAUACUGACCCACUUCACAGAGUUAUGAAGGGAUCUAAUACAAUAAUCAUACUUUUUUCCCUUUAUUCUCCUUUAUUGUGACCAAGGAUGACUUUGGGCAUUGCUGUGAGGAACUAUUUCGUUUAACACCCUACUACCUGAACAUGAUGCGUACUCAGCCUUUCACCACCCCCCAAGUAGCUACACAUGAUGUGAUAAUAGUAUUGGUGGUGGUUUUAGAGAGUUGGAGAGAAAACUGAAGUUGGAUUUGGGUAAAAGAAAAAAGAGUGGGAAUUAUUUUUUCUCCAUUCUAAAGCCCAUAAAGCAAUGUUAAUUGUUCCCACCCCUCUGCUAUUCUGUCUCCUCAGGUACUGUGUGCAGAAAUGUGAUUGAGAUUCAAGUCAGGGCCUCUCUGCCCUUUUCCCUCCAGAAACAAAACCAAGAUAAUUUAUCCUGAACACGGUGAAAAAAGGAAGGGAGGGAGGAGAAAAAGUCCGGGUCUCACCUGGGAUUCUCUGUCUCCUGCAACAUGAAGGAUUUAGCCUGGGAGGAGGUGGUGAGAACUCUGGGAGAGAAAAAAGAAGGAAAGAAUAGUUUUACCCAUGCUGAAGUUAAUUUAAACCUUCACCUAGAGAAGCAAAAAAAAAAAACCCACACUUUCCCAUUUUGUGCCUCCCUUCCUAGAGUUUUAGCCAAAGGUUUAGCUAAGUAAUUGGUUUUACCAGCGCACUCACUCCUCCUAUCCCAAGUCUGUUUGACUCCCUCCCCAUCAUCCUCCUCACCUCUUUUCAGGCAGGGUGGGGAUAGCAGCAGGAGGAGAUUUUGGGAGCCUGGCAACUCCUGCAAGGACCGCAGGACAGCCCCUCUGUGGGGAUGCGUGGUGCCCCAUCUGCCGCCCUUCUGAAGAAUGCACUGCCUUCACUUUUUACUGUGUUAGAGUCCAUCCAGACUGUUCUAUCCAAAAAAGUUUCUUUUUCCCCCACAGGCAAUCAGGAAAUGAUUCCUUUCCCGACUGCUUCUGUCUAGUGCCUGGGAAUCUUGAGUCAAUCCCUCAGUAAGUCAGUGACUAGGGAAAUCCCUCUCUGAGCCUCCCAGUUCAUGUUGCUUAGGGAACCUGAUAUUUUCGUGAAACCUGCCUACACAUGGGCAGCCCAACAGCAGAACAAAUGGUGGUGACCAAAGUGAACAAAGAAGUAUAGUUGUGCCAGCUUCGUAGUUGCCCAUGUGGACAAGUCAGCAGGAUCAGGACACGAGGAAGAGUAAAUGUGAGACAGUCAAUGUGACUUCUGCGAUAAACAGAUUUUUAAACCCCGAAAUUUUGCAAAAUUUUGGUGAAACCUGAACUUUCUUCGUUGCAUAUACUGGCACUAUCUGUACCAUCAUACAACUGUCUCACAUUAAAGCUAUUUUUCUUGGGCACUGAUGAGUAAGGGACUUGCACUUAGGAAUCUGUUACAGUGAGCACAGAAGCAGACCUGUGGGCUCAUAGUCUUCACCCCCCACCCAUAUAUACAAGAUGAACAGAGUGGAGGUUAAACAACUUGACUAAACAACACAGUUCAUGGUAAAGCCCAAGACUGUACCUGCCCAUCCACUGCCUUUUCCAUGUAUCCUGGAACUGAGCAUAGACCUCUUCCCAGGCAGAGCUGACAGCAAGUAAAGGAGAUCAUAAUCAGGGGACCAAACAACUUUGUCUAAAGUGUGAAUGUCACCUAAGGAGAAGCUGUGAGAUCAGAAGGGUGGGGCAGAGGAGCAGACACCAUGAGGGAGAGUCCUUGGGGGUACAUCUGCCAGACUGACACUGUCUGGCCUGGGCAGUGGAGGGGCUAGCAGGAACCACAGGUACUGGUGGUGUGGCUACUACCGUUACAACUGCCUGUGCUUGGACAUGGACCCUCUGCAAUAUGCGGCAGUUUCAUUCAUUGCCCCCUACAUUCUACACCAAGUAGAAAUGGAAGGCAAUUGGAUACUUCACAGACAAGAUCUAAGUGGAGAAGGAAUGCGUCCUGUGGCUGCAGAGAUCCUUGGAGCUUGGAGGGGAGAGCUUGAGCCCCACUGAUGAUGACCUCCCACAGCUCGCCAACUCAGCCCUCCCUAAGUCCCCAUCGGGGGCCAAUUCUCACUCUGGGGUUGGGGGGACUCCACCAUAGCUCAUCCAUCAUAGGGAUGUUGGUAUCUACUGUGGGUUGGGUAGGGCCGAUGUGCUGAGGAUGGCUCCCCCACAAGCAAGAGAUGUGGAUUUGGGGAGCUUCCCAUCUUGUGUUGAAGGAACAUAACUCAGAAUAAUAAGAGCCAACUAUAACAAACCCACAGCCAACAUCAUACUGAAUGGGCAAAAGCUGCAGGCAUUCCCCUUGAAAAGUGGCACAGGAUAAGGAAGCCCUUUCUCACCACUCCUAUUCAAUAUAGUGUUGAAAGUCCUGAUCACAGCAGUCAGGCAACAGAAAUAAUAAAGGGCAUCCAAAUAGGAAGAGAGGAAGUCAAACUAUCCUUGUUUGCAGACAGUAUGAUUCUAUAUCUAGAAAACCCCAUAGCCUCAGCCCAAAAGGUCCUUCAUCUGAUAAUUUCAGCAAAGUUUCAGGAGACAAAAUCAGUGUACAAAAAUCACUAACAUUCCUAUACACAGUCGCCAAGCCAAGAGCCAAAUCAGGAGCACAAUCCCAUUCAUAAUUGCCACAAAAAAGAAUAAAAUACCCAGGAAUGCAGCUAACCAAGGAAGUAAAGGAUCUCUACAAUGAGAAUCACAAACGCUGCUCAAAGAAAUCAGAGAUGACACAAACAAAUGGAAAAACUUUCCAUGCUCAUGGCUAGGAAGAAUCAAUAUCAUUAAAGUGGCCAUACUACCCAAAGCAAUUUAUAGAUUCAAUGCUAUUCCUAUCAAACUAUCAAUUACAUUUUUCACAGAACUAGAAAAAACUUAAAAUUCAUAUGGAACCAAAAAGCCUGAGUAGUCAAGGCAAUCCUAAACAAAAAGAACAAAGGUGGAGGCAUCACAUUACCUAACUUCAAACUACAGGGCUACCAUGACCAAAACAGCAUGGUACUGGUACAAAAGCAGACACACAGACCAGUGGGACAGAAUAGAGAGCCCAAAAAUAAGGCCACAAACCUACAGCCAUCUGAUCUUCAACAAAGUUGACAAAAACAAGCAAUGGGGAAAGGUCUCCCUAUUCAAUAAAUGGUGCUGGGAUAACUGGCUGGCCAUAUGCAGAAGAUCGUAACUGGACCCCUUUUACUAUGUACAAAAAUUAAGAUGGUUUAAAGAGUUAAAACCCAAAAUUAUAAAAAUCCUGAAGAUAACUUAGGCAAUACCAUUCUGGACAUAGGAACUGGCAAAUAUUUCAUGAUGAAGACACCAAAAGCAAUUGUAACAAAAGCAAAAAUGGACAAAUUGGAUUUAAGAGCUUUUUCAUAGCAAAAUAAACAACAGGGCAGACAAUCUACCAAAUGACAGAAAAUUUUUGCAAACUAUGCAUCUGACAAGGGGCUAAUAUCUAGCAUCUAUAAGGAAUUUAAACACAGUUACAGGAAAAAAAAAACCCACUCCAUUAAAAAAUGGGCAAAGGACAUGAACAGACACUUUUCAAAAAAGACAUACAUACAGCCAACUAGCGUGUUAAAGAAAACCUCAAUUAUCACUGAUCAUUAGAGAAAUGCAAAAUCAAAACCAUGAUGAGAUAUCAUCUGCCAGUCAGGAUGGCUACAAAAAAGUAAAAAAAUAAUAGAUGUUGGUGAGGUUAUGGAGAAAAGGAACUUAUACACUUGUUAGGAGUGUAAAUUAGUUCAAUCACUGUGGACAGCAGUGUGGUGAUUCCUCAGAGAGCUAAAAACAACUACCAUUUGACUCACCAAUCCCAUUACUGGAUAUUUACCUAAAGGAAUAUAAAUCAUUCCACCAUAAAGACACAUGCAAGUGUAUGUUCAUUGCAGCACUAUUAACAGUAACAAAGCUGGGCACAGUGGCUCACCUCACGACUGUAAUCCCAGCACUUUGGGAGGCUGAGGUAGGCGGAUCACCUGAGGUCGGCAGUUUGAGACCAGCCUGACCAACAUGGAGAGACCCCAUCUCUACUAAAAAUACAAAAUUAGCCAGGUGUGGUGGCUCAUGCCUGUAAUCCCAGCUACUUGGGAGGCCAAGGCAGGAGAAUUGCUUGAACCCAGGAGGCAGAGGUUGCAGUGAGCCGAGAUCACACCAUUGCACUCUAGCCUGGUGAAGGAGCAAGACUCCAUCUCAAAAAAAAAAAAAAAAAAGAAAGAAAGAAAAAUACACAUUCAGAGGAGACAAAAAAUAAAAAACAAUGAUGCAUGCCCACAGGAUCUAGAAAAUAACUUCUUAAGGGCAAAUCUAGGAGUUAUUGGCCUUAAAGAAGAGAUAGAGAAAGAGAUAGGAAUAGAAAGUUUGUUGAAAGGGAUAAUAACAUAGAACUUCCUAAACCUACAGAAAGAUAUUUAUAUCCAAGUACAAGAAGGUUAUAGAACACCAGGCCAAUUUAACCCAAAGAUUACCUCAAGGCAUUUAAUAAUCAAACUCCCACAGGACAAGGGUAAAGAAAGGAUCCUAAAAGCAGCAAGAGAAAAGAAACAGAUAACAUACAAUGGAGCUCCAAUACAUCUGGCAGUAUAUUUUUCAGUGGAAACCUUACAAGCCAGGAGAGAGUGACAUGACAUAUGUUAAAGUGCUGAAGGGAAAAAACCUUUUACCCUAGAAUAGUAUAUCCAGCAAAAAUAUCCUUCAAACAUGAAGAAUAAACAAAGACUUCCCCAGACAAACAAAAGCUGAGGGAUUUCAUCAACACUAGACUGGUCCCAUAAGAAACGCUUAAGGGAGUACUUUGGUCAGAAAGAAACAGACAUUAAUGAGCAACAAAGAAUCAUCUAAAGGUAAAAAACUCACUGUUAAGAGUAAGUACACAGAAAAACCCAAAGUGUGAUAACAUUGUAACUGUGGUGUGUAAGUAGAAAGAAUAAAUGAUAAACCAAUCAAAAAUAGUAACUACAACUUUUCAAGACCAGUCAGAAAAAUAAGAUAAAAUUAGAAACAACAAAAAGUUAAAAAGUGGGGGGAUGAAGUUAAGAUGUAGAGUUUUUAUUAGUUUUUUGUUUGUUAAUGCAAACAGUGUUACCAGGUUAAAAUAAUGGGUUACAAAAUAGUAUUUGUAAUCCUUAUGGUAACCUCAAACCUAAAAACAUACACUGGAUACAUAAAAAAUAAAAAGCAAAAACCUAAAUCAUAUCACCAGAGCAAACUACCUUCCCUAAAGGAAGACAGGAAGAAAAGAAAGAAGAAGACCACAAAACAACCAGAAAACAAAUAAAUAACAAGGCAGGAGUAAGUCUUUACUUAUCGAUAAUACAUUGAAUGGAAAUAUGGACUAAACUCUCCAAUCAAAAGACAUAGACUGGCUGAAUGAAUGGAGAAAACAAGACCCAUUGAUCUGUUGCCUACAAGAAACACACUUAAACUAUAAAGACACACAUAGGCUGAAAGUAAAGAGUUGGAAAGAGUUAUUCCAUGCCAAUGGAAACCAGGAAAAAGAGAAGGAGUAUUGAUUUUGAUACAAAAACUAUGAGACAAAUAAAGUCACUAUACAAUGAUAAAGGGGUUAAUAUGGUUUCCAUUUGUGCCCCACCCAAAUUUCGUGUUCUAUUGUAAUCCUCAAUGUUGGAGGUGGGGCCUGGUGGGACGUGAUUAGAUCAUGGGGGUGGAUCUUUCAUGACUAAUUCAGCACCAUCUUCUUAGUGCUGUUCUCAUGAUAGUGAGUUCUUCUGAAAUCUGGUUGCUUAAAAGUGUGUAGCACCUCUCCACACCACCCGCUUGCCUUGGUCUACUCCUGCUAUGUAGAUGCUUGCUCCCACUUUGCAUUAUUCCAUGAGUAAAAGCUCCCUCAGGCCUUCCCAGAAUCAGAUGCCGCUAUGCUUCCUGAACAGCCUGUGGAACUAUGAGCCAAUUCAACCUCUUUUCUUCAUAAAUUAACAAGUCUUGGGUAUUUCUUUAUAGCAGUGUGAGAACAGAAUAAUACAGAAAAUUGGUAAAGAGGAGUGAGGCAUUGCUAGAAAGAUACCUGAAAAUGUGGAAACAGCAGUGGAACUGGGAAAUAGACAGAGGUUGGAAGAGUGUGGAGGGCUCCGAAGAUAGGAAGAUGAGGGGAAGUUUGGAAUUUCUUAGAGAUUUGUUAAAUUGUUUUGACCAAAAUACUGAUGGUGAUAUGGACAAUGAAGUCCAGGCUGAGGAGGUCUCAGAUGGAGAUGAGGGACUUAUUGGGACCUGGAGUGAAGGUCACUUUUGUUAGGACAUUGUGGUUGGAGACAUUGUGCCCCUGCCCUAGGAAUCUGUGGAACUUUGAACUUGAGAGCGAAGAUUUAGGGUAUCUGGCAGAAGAAAUUUCUAAGCAGCAAAGCGUUCAAGACGUGGCCUGGCUGCUUCUGGUAGUCUGUGCUCAUAUUUGUGAGCAAAGACAUGACAAGAAACUGGAACUUAUAUUUAAAAAGGAAGCAGAGUGUAAAAGUUUGGAGAAUUUGCAGCCUGGCCAUGUUGUAGAAAAGAAAAAAACCAUUUUCUGGAGAGGAAUUCAAGCUAGCUGCAGAAAAUUGCAAGUAACAAGGAGCAAAAUGUUGAUAGCCAAGAUAGUGGGAAAAACACCUUGAAGGCAUUUCAGAUACCUUGGGGGCAGCCUCUCCCAUCACAGGCCCAAAGGCCUAGGAGGGAAGGAUGGUUUCCUGGGCCAGGCUCAGGGUCCUGCUGCCCUGCACAACCUCAGGAAACUGCUCUCCAAAUCCCAGCUGCUCCAGCUCCAGCUUCAGCUCAAAGGGCCCCAGGUAUAGCUCAGGCUGCUGCUCCAUAGGAUGCAAGUUAUAAGCCUUAGUGGCUCCCGUGUGGUGUUAAAUUAAGCCUGUAGGUGCACAGAGUGCAAGAAUUGAGGCUUGGGAGCCUCCAACUAGAUUUCAGAGUAUGUGUGGGAAAGCCUGGAUGUCCAGGCAGAAGCCAGCUGCAGGGACAGAGCCCUCAUGGAGAACCUCUACUAGGGUAGUGUGGAGGGGAAAUUUGGGGUUGGAGUUCCCACACAGCUUCCCCUCUGGUGUACUGCCUAGUGGAGCUGUGAGAAGACAGCCACUGUCCUCCAGAUUCCAGGAUGAUAGAUCUGCCAAUGACAGCUUGCACUGUACAACUGGAAAAGCCACAGGCAGUCAAUGCCAGCCCGUGAAAGCAGUGACAGUGGCUUACCCUGCAAAGUCCCAGGGGCUGAGCUGCCCAAGGCCUUGGGAGCCCACCCCUUGCACCAGUGUGCCCUGGAUGUGAGAUAUGGAGUCAAAGGAGAGUAUUUUGGAGCUUUAAGAUUUAAUGACUACCUGCUGGGUUUCAGACUUGCAUGGGUCCAGUAGCCCCUUUCUUUUGGCCAAUUUCUCACUUUUGGAAUGGGAGUGUUUACCCAAUUCCUGUACCCCCACUGUAUGUUGGAAGUAACUAACUGUUUUUUUAUUUUGUAAGCUCACAGGUGGGAGAGACUUGCCUUGUCUCAGGUUGAGACUCUGGACUUUGGACUUUUGAAUUAAUGCUGGAAUGAGUUAAGACUUUGAGGGACUGUUGGGAAGAUAUAACUGUAUUUUGCAGUAUGAGAAGGACAUGAGAUUUGGGAGACACCAGAGGUGGAAUAAUAUGAUUUGGAUCUGCAUCCCCACCAAAAUCUCAUGUUCAAUUGUAAUCCUAAAUUUUGGAGGUUGAGCCUGGUGGAAGAGGAUUGGAUAAUGGGGGUGGUUUCUCAUGGUUUAACACCAUCCCCCUGGGUGCUGUUCUCAUGACAGUGAGUGAGUUAUUGUGAGAUCUGAUUGUUUAAAAGUGUGUGCCACCUCCUCCCACUUUCCUCCUGCUCCAGCCAUGUAAGACAGGCUUGCCUCCCCUUCACCUUUUGUCAUGAUUGUAAGUGUUCUGAGGCCUCCCCAGCCAUGCUUCCUGUACAGCCUGCAGAACUGUGAGCCAAUUAAACCUCUUUUCUCUAUAUAUUACCCAGUCUCGGGUAUUUCUUUAUAGCAGUGCAAGAAUAGACUAAUACAGGGUUCAAUUCAGCAAGAGGAUAUAACAAAUAUAAAUAUAUAUGCACUCAACACUGCAGCACCCAGAUAUAUAAAGCAAAUACGAUUAGAGCUAAAGAGAGAGAGUGACCCCAAUACAAUAAUAGCUGGAGACUUCAACACCACAUUUUCAGCACUGGACAGAUCUUCCAGACAGAAAAUAAAAAAGAAACAUCAGACUUAAUCUGCACUGUAGAUCAAAUGGAUCUAAUACAUACUUGCAGAACAUUUUAUCCAAUGGCUGCAGAAUACACAUUCUUUUUUAGCACAUGUAUCAUUCUCAAGGAUAGACCAUAUGUUAGGUCACAAGUCUUAAAACAUUAAAAAAGUUGAAUACCAUCAAGCAUCUUCUCUGACCACAGUGGAAUACAACUAGAAACUAAUAACAAGAGGAAUUUUUGAAACUACAAAUACAUGAAAAUUAAACAAUAUGCUCCUGAAUGACCAUUGAGUCAAUGAAGAAAUUAAGAAGGAAAUUGAACAAUUUCUUGAAACAAAUGAUAAAGGAAACACAACAUACCAAAACCUAUGGGAUACGGCAAAAGCAGUACUAAGAGGCAAAUUGAUAGCUAUAAGUGCCUACAUGAAAAAAGAGGAAAAACUUCAAAUAAGCAAUUUAACAAUGAACCUUAACCAGAAAAGCAAGAGCAAAACAAACACAAAAUUAGAAGAAAACAAAUAAUAAAAAUUAGAGCAUAAAUAAAUAAAAUUGAAAUAAAAAUCAAUGCAAAAGAACAAUGAAACAAAAAGUUGCUUUUUUUCAAAAGUUAAACAAAACUGACAAGCCUUUAGCAAGACUGAGAAAAAAGAGACAAGAUACAAAUCAGAAAUGAAAAAGACAUUACAACUGACACUGCAGAAAUUCAAAGGAUCAUUAGGGGCUACUAUGAGCAACUCUAUGCCAAUAAAUUGGAAAAUCUAGAAGAAAUUGACAAUUCCUAGACACAUACAACCUACUGAGACUGGACCAGGAAGAAAUCCAAAACCUGAACAGACUAAUAACAAGUAACAAGGUUGAAGCCAUAAUAAAAAGUCUCCCACUAAAGAAAACCAAGGACCCGAUGGCUUCACUGUUGAAUUCUACCAAACAUUUAAAGAAGAACUAAUACCAAUCCCACUCAAGCUAUUGAAAAAUAGAGGAGGAGAGAAUAUUUCCAAAGUCAUUCUAGGAGACCAGUAUCACCCUGAUACCAAAACCAGACAAAGACACAUCAAAAAAAGAAAACUGCUGGCCAAUUUCUCUGAUGAAUAUUGAUGCCAGAAUCCUCAGCAAAAUAUUAGCAAACUAAAUUCAACAAUACAUUAAAAAGAUCAUUCAUCAGGGUCGGGUGCAGUGGCUUAAGCCUCUAAUCCCAGCACUUUGGGAGGCCGAGGUGGGCAGAUCACCUGAGGUCAGGAGUUCAAGACCAGCCUGACCAACAUGGUGAAACCUCGUCUCUACUGAAAAUACAAAAUUAGCCGAGUGUGGUGGUGCAUGCCUGUAAUCCCAGCUACUCAGGAGACUGAGGCAGGAGAAUCACUUGAACCCAGGAGGUGGAGGUUGCAGUGAGCUGAGAUUGUGGCACUGCACUCCAGCCUUGGUGACAGAGUGAGACUCCAUUAAAAAAAAAAUCAUUUAUCAUGACCAAGUGGGAUUUAUCCCUGGAAUGCAAGGAUGGUUCAACACAUGCAAAUCAAUCAAUGUAAUACAUCAUAUCAAAAAGAAUGAUUAAAACCAUAUGAUUAUUUCUAUUGAUGCUGAAAAAGUAGUUUAUAAAAUCCAACAUCCCUUCAUGAUAAAAACCCUCAAAAAACUGUAUAAAAGAAAUAUACCUCAACGUAAUAGCCAGAUAUGACAGACCCACAGCUAGUAUCAUACUGAAUGGGGAAAAAGUGAAAGACUUUCCUAUAAGAUCUGGAACACAACAGGGAUGUUCACUGUCACCACUGUUAUUCAACAAAGUACUGGAUGUUCUAGCUAGAGCGAUCAGACAAGAGAAGAUAUAAAGGCCAUCCAAACUGGAAAGGGAGAAGUUAAAUUACCCUAGUUUGCAGAUGAUAUGAACUUAUAUUUGGAAAAAACCUAAAGGCUCCACAGGAAAACUAUUAGAAUCAAUAAAUUCAGUAAAGUUGCAGGACACAAAAUCAACAUAUAAAAACCAGUAGCAUUUCUAUAUGUCAACAGUGAACAAUUUGAAAAAUUUUAAAUUUAAGAAGGUAAUUUCAUUUACAAUAGCCACACAUAAAAUUAAAUACCUAGGAAUUAACCAAAAAUGUGCAAGAUAUCUAUGAGGAGAAUUAUAAAACAUUGAUGAAAGAAAUUGAAGAGGACACAAAAAAAAUGGAAAAAAUUCCAUCUUUAUGGAUUGGAAGAAUCAAUAUUGUUAAAAUGUCCAUACUACCCAAAGCAAUCUACAGAUUUAAUGCAAUCCCUAUCAAAAUACCAAUAAUAGUCUUCAGAGAAAUAGAAAAAAAAAUCCCAAAAUUUAUAUGAAAACACAGAAUGCCCAGAAUAGCCAAAAUUAUAUUAAGCAAAAAGAUCAAAACUGGAGGAAUCACAUUACCUGACUUCAAAUUAUGCUACAGAGCUAUAAUCACCAAAACAGCAUGGUACUGACAUAAAAACAGACACAUAGUCCAACAGAACAGAAUAGAGAACCUAGAAACAAAUCCACACACUCACAGGGAACUCAUUUUUGACAGAGUUGCCAAGUACUUAUACUGGAGAAAAGAAAAGACAGUCUCUUCAAUGAAAUGGUGCUGGGAAAACUGGAUAUCCAUAUGCAGAAGAAUGAAACUAGACCCCUACCUCUCACUGUAGACAAAAGUCAAAUCAAGGCUAGGCAUGGUGGCUUACACCUGUAAUCUCAGCACUUUGGGAGGCUGAGGCAGGCGUAUCACGAGGUGAAGAGAUUGAGACCAUCCUGACCAACAUGGUGAAACUCACCCCCCCCCACCCACUAAAAAUACAAAAAUUAGCUGGGCGUGAUGGCAUGUGCCUGCAGUCCUAGCUACUCAGGAGGCUGGGGCAGGAGAAUCGCUUGAACCCAGGAGGUGGAGGUUGCAGUGAGCUGAGAUUGUGCCACUGCACUCCAGCCUGGCGACAGAGCAAGACUCCAUCUCAAAAAAUAAAAAAUAAAUUCAAAAUGUAAUAAAGACUUAAAUCUAAGACCUCAAACAUGAAACUACUAUAAGAAAACAUUGGGGAAAACCUCCAGGACAGUAGUCUGGCCAAAAAUUUCUUGAGCAAUACCCCACAAGCACAGGCAACCAAAAUAAAACUGGACAAAUAGUAUCACAUCAAGUUUAAAAGCUUCUACAAAGCAAAGGAUACAAUCAAUAAAGAGACAACCCACAGAAUGGGAGAAAAUAUUUGCAAACUACCCAUCUGACAAAGAAAUAAUAACCAGAGUAUAUAAGAAGCUCAAACAACUCUAUAGUAAAAAAAAAAAAAAAAAAAAUUCUAAAAGUCUAAGUAAAAAAAUGGGCAAAAGAUUUGAAUAGACAUUUCUCAAAAGAAGACAUACAGGCCAUGCGUGGUGGCUCAUGCCUGUAAUCCCAGCACUUUGGGAGGCCCAGGCGGGUGGAUCACUUGAGGUCAGGAGUUCGAGACCAGCCUGACCAACAUUGUGAAACUCCGUCUCUACUAAAAAUACAAAAAUAAGCCAGGCAUGGUGGCGCACACCUGUAAUCCCAGCUACUCAGGAGGCUGAGGCAGGAGAAUCGCUUAAACCUGGGAGACAGAGGUUGCAGUAAGCCGAGAUCACACCACUGCACUCCAGCCUGGGCAACAAAGUGAGACUCCGUCUCACAAAAAAAAAAAAAAAAAAAAAAAAAAAAGAAAAGAAAAAGGAAGAAGACAUACAAAGCCAGGUACAGUGGCUUAUGCCUCUAAUCCUAGCACUUUAGGAGGCCAAGGCAGAUGGAAUUGAGCCCAGAAGUUUGAGACCAGACUGAGCAAUAUGGUCAAACCCCAAUUCUGCAAAAUACAAAAAUAAAAAAUAGCUGGGAGUGGUGGUGCACACCUGUAGUCCCAGCUACUUAGGAAGCUGAGAUGGGAGGAUCACUUGAGCCUGCAGUGAAUCAUAAUUGCACCAAUGCACUCCAGCCUGGGCGACAGAGUGAGAGACAUUGUCUCAAAAAAAAGAAAAAGAAAAAAAAGAAAGGACAUAAAAAUGACAAACAGGCAUAUGAAAAGGUGCUGAUGAUUAUUGAUCCUCAGAGAAAUGCAAAUCAAAACUGCAAUGAGAUAUAAUCUCACCCCAGUUAAAAUGGCUUAUAUCCAAAAGACAGGCAAUAACAAAUGCUGGUGAGGAUGUGGAUAAAAGGGAACCCUCGUACACUGUUGAUGGGAAUGUAAAUUAGUACAACCACUAUGGAUAACAGUUUAGAGGUUCCUCAGAAAACUAAAAAUUGAGUUGCGAUAUGAUGCAACAAUCCUACUGCUGGGUAUAUACCCCACAAAAGACAAAACCAGCGUUUUGCAUGGUGGCUCACACCUGUAAUCCCAGCACUAUGGGAGGCCGAGGAGGGCAGAUCACUUGAGCCCAGAAGUUCAAGACCAGCCCGAGCAACAUGGCAAAACCUGAUUUCUACAAAAUACAAAAAAAAAAUUAGGCAGUUGUAGUGGUUCACACCUAUAGUCCUAGCUACUGUGGAGGCUGAGGUAGGAUCACUUGAACCUAGGAGGUGGAGGUUGCAGUGAGCCAAGAUCAUGCCACUGCACUCCAGCCUGGGUGACAAAGUGUGACCCUGUCUCAAAAAAGAAAAUCAGUAUAUGGAAGAGGUAUCUGCACUCCUAUGUUUUUUACAACACUGUUUACAAUAGCUAAGAUUUGGAAGCAACCUAAAUGUCUAACAGCAGAUGAAUGGAUAAGGAAAAUUUGGUAUGUAUACACAAUGAAGUACUAUUCAGCCAUAAAAAGGAAUGAGAUCCAGUCAUUUGCAACAGCAUGGAUGGAAGUGGAGAUCAUUAUGUUAAAUGAAAUAAGCCAGGCACAGAAAGGCAAACAUGGCAUGUUCUCACUUAUUUGUGGGACCUAAAUUCAAAACAAUUGAACUAAUGGACAUAAAGAGUAGAAGAAUGGUUACCAGAGGCUAGGAAUGGUAGUGGGGGGCUGAAGGGAAGGUGGGGAUGUUUAAUCGGUAAAAAAAAAUUUAGAAGAAUAAGACCUACUAUUUGAUAGCACAAUAGGGGGACUAUAGUCAAUAAUGCACAUUUAAAAAUAGUGUAAUUGAAUGGUUUGUAACUCAAAGGAUAAAUGCUUGAGGGAAUGGAUACCCCAUUCUCCAUGAUGUGCUUAUUUCACAUUGCAUACCUGUAUCAAAACAUCUCAUGUACCCCAUAAAUAUAUGCAGCUAUUAUGUACCCACAAAAAUUGAAAAUCAAAAAUAAAAUAUUUUUUAAAAUGUAUUAUUAUUUGUCCUCUGUGAAUAAAACUCGCUUCUGGCCCUCCUUUUUAUAGGUAUUUAAAAGAAUGCAUUUAGGCAGAUCAAUGGCAUUAUAUAAUAUACAAAAACAAUAAAUCUUUUUUUUUUAAACAUAUCACAUUCAGCACAGCUGCUGAAGUUGGGGCUAAUUAUAGGUUACAUUUUCAUUAAUCCACUGUCAUCUGUUAUCAUCCAUCCAAUUUUUGCUAGAACUGGAGUGGUAAAUUCAAUAGUUGAUGAUGAAACCACAACCCCUGCAUCUUUUAUGUCUUUGAGUGACAGUUUAUUUCAUUGCCCCUCAAAUACUACAUUGUUUUAAAAUUUCUAUCUUGGUCGAUAUUAGAAGCUCUCUUAGGGGCAUCCACUUGGCCUUUCUUACUACAAAUCCUUUAUUCCACAGGUGAAAUGACUAAAGUGUGAGUGAAAUAACUAAUGUACAAAAUAAAUCCAUCAAUUACAUAUUUGGAAACCAGAAAAAUAACCACCAAGCAGAUGUGUGGACACAGAGAAUCCACGGAGAUACGGGUGGACCUGAGACAGGAAAUUAUUUUCAGUUCCCUGUGUGGCUCUCCUCUAAUAGAAGUCCAUGAGGGUGCUUUGGUUCCCCAGGUAUCAGUGUGAAAUUGGACCCUGUAUCCAAUAGACCUGAAAAUAUCUGGACAUUCCCCUUUAUCAGUGUCUUGAUACCUGAGUAAAUGGCCAUUGAUCCCUUUAGGGAAGGGUGUAGAAAGUGUCUACUGUACACACUUAUGGUGUUGCAGAUACUUCAUCAGGGGACGUGACUCUCCUUCAAUGAAUGGAUUCUGGAUCUAAGCACUGGCUCAGGUCUGGAAACUGGGCAAGGGAUUUUAAACUUCUAUUGGAGAAAUUAAUCUCAGACUUCAGCUCAUCUAUUUUUCAUCUAUUGAUUCUAAUAUUAAACAACAGUCUUAUAGGCUGCCCAACUAGAAACACCAUAGUCUUAAUAAUUUCCCUAAAUCCCUUGCAGUCAGGAUUUCCUGGCUUCCAUUCUAACAUUACUCACUAUUUUGGGGAUUUUGUCCAUUUUGAUUCUGCCUUGCUGCCAGCUGGCCUCUAGCUUUCUGGAAUCCUACUGUCCUAUUGUUGCUAGGGCACCAAGUUCUCCAAUAUCAUCUCAUAGAGUCAGCUCCAGCCCACAAAGGACAAAAUUAGGUUAAUACCCCGUUCACCUGCCCAUGACUUGCUGCCUGAUAAACAGAGUUUCCUUUGGGCCCUUCCAAAUAAACAGUCACCCAGUGCAUGAUCCAGUUUUAUAGAGUGUAUCUAUCUAUGCCAGCAUGCUCACUGCUCUGAGCCUUUUGGUCUCUUUCUCCACAAUCUGCCAUGGCAGCUCUGGCACAUCGAUUUUAUUUCAUGUGAGCCAUCAUUUUUCAUUAGAACAGUUUCAUUAAGAUAAAAUUCAUAUAUUAUUCAACCAUUUAAACUCAAUGGUUUUUAGCAUAUUUAUAGUGCAACCAUCACCACAAUCAAUUGUAGAACAUGUUCAUCACUCCAAAACUAUUUUUAGAACAUUUUCAUCACCCAUGUAUAUUUAUUCUCAGGCAGUCAUCCCCAUUUUUCCCUCCAACAUUUCCUCAGUCCUAGGCAACCACUAAUCUACUUUCUCUCUACAAAUUUAUUUCUUAUAGACAUUUCAUAUAAAUGAAAUAAUAUAAUGGAUGGUCUUUUGUGACUGGCGUCUUUCACAUAGCAUAAUGUUUUCAAGGUUCAUCCACAUUGCAGCAUUUAUUAGUACUGCAUUUCUUUUUAUGGCCAAAUAUUCCGUUCCAUAGAUUGACCAUAUCUUAUUCAUUCAUUUGUUCCUGG
rnacentral:lncRNA from 1 species